GGCAGCAUGGUGUAGUGGUUUGAGUGUUAAGACUACGACUCUGGAGACCAGGGUUCGAAUCCCUGCUUGGCCA